CGCCUGUUUAUCAAAAACAUGGUUUUUAGUUUUUAAUUUAAAAAUUUGGCUGCCCAAUGAUUCUAAAUAGCCGCAGGAAUUUAACUGUACAAAGGUAGCAUAAUAAUUAGUCUUUUAAUUUGAGUCUUGUAUGAAUGGUUUGACGAAAAAUAAUCUUUAUUUUUUUUUUUUUUAAUUUUAAUUUUGUGUUAAAAUGCAUAAAUUUUUAAGAGGGACGAUAAGACCCUAAAGAUCUUUAUUUAAUAAUUAUUUUAAUUUUUUUUAAUUUUUUUAUUUUAAUUUUUAAAUUUGGUUGGGGUGAUAAAUAAAUAUUUAAUCUUUUUUUUUUUUUUACAUUUUUUUAUGGUUAUUUGAGUUUUUAAAUUAAAAGAAAAGAUACCUUAGGGAUAACAGCGUUAUAAAAUUGGAUAGUUCAAAUUGAUAAUUUUGUUUGCGACCUCGAUGUUGGAUUAAUAAAAUGUAUGAGGUAGGUUUCAUAUUAUUAGGUCUGUUCGACUUUAAAAUUUUACAUGAUCUGAGUUCAGACCGG
rnacentral:rRNA from 1 species